CAGCCAGGCAGCUGGUGAGCGGCGGCCCCGCGAGGCCAUGAAGGUGAAGAAGGGUGGCGGCGGGGCGGGACAGGGGCGGAGCCCGCUCCAGAGGCCUCAGGCCCGAGCUUACAGCCCACGAUGGAGCCGCGAGUGCAAUCGGAAUCUGGGUCCGAGUCGGAACCGGAGGCCGGUUCCGGGCCCAGGCCCGGGCCGUUGCAGGGAAAGCAGCCCAUCGGGCCUGAGGACGUGCUGGGACUGCAGCGGAUCACGGACGAUUUACCUGUGCUCCCCCGAGGAGAAUAUCUACAAGAUCGACUUCAUCAGGUUCAAAAUCCGGGAUAUGGACUCAGGCACUUGUCCUCUUUGAAAUCAAGAAGCCCCCUGCCUCAGAGCGGUUGCCCAUCAACCGGCCCGGCGGGACCUGGACCCCAAUGCCGGGCGCUUUGUCCGCUACCAGUUCACACCUGCCUUCCUCAGCCUGAGGCAGGUGGGAGCCACGGUGGAGUUCACAGUGGGUGACAAGCCCGUCAACAACUUCCGAAUGAUUAAGAGGCACUACUUCCGCAACCAGCUGCUGAAGAGCUUUGACUUCCACUUUGGUUUCUGCAUUCCCAGUAGCAAGAACACCUGCGAACACAUCUACGACUUUCCCCCUCUCUCUGAGAUGAUGAGCCCUGGACCCCCAGUCAGUGUUGGUAGGAGGGGUCUCUGUCUCCCCCAGGCGGAGUCCCUGAAGCCCAUGGGGAGAGGUAAUAGGGGAACUCUCCAUGUCCAGGAAGGUCUCCUGUGA